rnacentral:misc_RNA from 1 species
GCAUAUUAUUGUUCUUCUCUCCAUCAUUUACUGUUGGUUCUGCCAGUGAAUGCCCUACACUCUUCACAAUUUGGAAUUUCUAUGUGGAUAAUGAGGCACAAGGAAAAAUGACCAUUUUCUAUAUUUUGUUGUAAACAGGGACAGAGCCAAUGGUCAUUUUCUACAACAGCUUAUCAACUCCAUUUUGACUAAUUUCUAAAUGAUCCCAAAUUGGGAAUGUUCAAUGCCAUCGUGAU